rnacentral:rRNA from 1 species
AUGAACGCUGGCGGCGUGCCUAAUACAUGCAAGUCGAGCGAACGGACGAGAAGCUUGCUUCUCUGAUGUUAGCGGCGGACGGGUGAGUAACACGUGGAUAACCUACCUAUAAGACUGGGAUAACUUCGGGAAACCGUAGCUAAUACCGGAUAAUAUUUUGAACCGCAUGGUUCAAAAGUGAAAGACGGUCUUGCUGUCACUUAUAGAUGGAUCCGCGCUGCAUUAGCUAGUUGGUAAGGUAACGGCUUACCAAGGCAACGAUGCAUAGCCGACCUGAGAGGGUGAUCGGCCACACUGGAACUGAGACACGGUCCAGACUCCUACGGGAGGCAGCAGUAGGGAAUCUUCCGCAAUGGGCGAAAGCCUGACGGAGCAACGCCGCGUGAGUGAUGAAGGUCUUCGGAUCGUAAAACUCUGUUAUUAGGGAAGAACAUACGUGUAAGUAACUGUGCACAUCUUGACGGUACCUAAUCAGAAAGCCACGGCUAACUACGUG